AUCUACAGUAUGGUUUUUAAAAAUCAGACUUUUCUGUCUGUUCUCCUGAUCUUGGAAGCUAAGUAGGGUCGGGCCUGGUUAGUACUUGGAUGGGAGACGGCCUGGGAAUACCAGGUGCUGUAGGCU
rnacentral:rRNA from 1 species